CGGGCCUUCGCUCCAUGCCUGGGCCUCUCGGUGUCUCCCUGGGUCGCGUUCCCGCGUGGUCGCCUCCUCGGAGCCGUCUUUGCCCUGUCGCUUCUGUCCCUGGAAGGCCUAGAAUAGGUAUCUGAGCCAAUACAAGUGGAUGCCUACCACGAAACCUCAUGGAGGUGGUGACUUUUGGAGACGUGGCUGUGCACUUCUCUCGAGAGGAGUGGCAAUGUCUGGACUCUAACCAGAGGGCCCUCUACAGGGAGGUGAUGCUGGAGAACCACAGCAGUGUGGCUGGACUAGCAGGAUUCCUGGUCUUCAAGCCUGAGUUGAUUUCUCGGCUUGAGCAAGGACAAGAGCCCUGGGUUCUUGACGUGCAGGGAGCAGAGAGGACAGAGGCACCGUGGACUUCACAGACAGAUUCUGUCAUUGGGACUGACUACAAGCAAACCUAUGAGGACAUGGACAUUCUCAAAAGGCAGGGCUCUGGCAAUGUAGACACUUUGGAUUCUGACAUCUGGUCAGAGAAUUGUCCAGUUAGCCCUGGGCUGAGAGUGUGGGGCUGCCUCUUCCAGGAGCAACAUUUGAAUAAUGGGACAUUAAAUCUCCAGAACUUUACCAAGCGCACUGUAAAAGAAUGUAAGGAGCUAGGGGCCGCUGUCAUAGGUUGCCAGCCUGAUAAAUAUCAGAGAGACAGUGUGGAAGGGACAUCACAGAACUGUAAUGCAUGUAGCAGAGCAUUCAUAUCAAGUUUAGACCUGGCUUCAUACCAGGAAAUAAAUUUACAGGAGAAACUGAACAGUAGUCAAGAAUGUAAAACAAUAUCUGAGUGCUUGCUGGGGAAAUACCCCAGUAACUGCCAUGGAGAAACGCCCUAUCAGUGUGGGGAGUGUGGGAAAGUCUUCAGGCUGUGUUCACAACUCAAUCAGCAUCAGAGAAUCCACACUGGAGAGAAACCAUUUAAGUGUGUUGAGUGUGGGAAAACCUUCCGUCUGAGUUCAAAACUUAUUCAGCAUCAAAGAAUUCAUACUGGAGAAAAGCCCUAUCGGUGUGAGGAAUGUGGAAAAAGCUUUGGUCAGAGCUCAAGCCUCAUCCAUCAUCAAAGGAUCCACACUGGAGAGAGGCCUUACAGUUGUCAAGACUGUGGGAAAGCCUUCAGCCAGCAAUCACAACUUGUCCGACACCAGAGAACUCACACUGGAGAGAGACCCUACACAUGCCUAGAGUGUGGCAAGGCCUUCAGCCAGAGCUCAACUCUAGCUCAGCACCAGAGGAUCCACAUUGGGGUGAAAUCUCAAGUCCCAAGAGCUUUAGAGAGUCCAAGCCUUAUUGCCCAUCAGAGAAGUCACACUGUGGAAAAGCCUUUUAAGUGUGAGGAGUGUGGGAAAGUAUUCAGGUGGAUCUCUCGUCUGAGUCAGCACCAGCUAAUUCACACUGGAGAAAAACCUUAUAAGUGUAACAAGUGCACAAAAGCCUUUGGUUGUAGCUCACGGCUGAUUCGCCAUCAGAGAACUCAUACCGGAGAAAAACCAUUUAAAUGUGAUGAGUGUGGGAAGGGCUUUGUCCAGGGCUCACACCUUAUUCAGCACCAGAGAAUCCACACAGGAGAGAAGCCAUAUGUGUGCAAAGACUGUGGGAAGGCCUUCAGCCAGAGUUCGAGCCUCAUUUACCACCAGAGAAUCCAUAAGGGAGAGAAACCAUAUGAAUGUCUCCAAUGUGGAAAAGCCUUCAGUAUGAGCACACAACUCACCAUUCACCAGAGGGUUCACACUGGGGAGAGACCCUAUAAGUGUAAUGAGUGUGGGAAAGCCUUCAGUCAAAACUCAACCCUUUUCCAACACCAGAUUAUUCAUGCUGGAGUGAAGCCCUAUGAAUGUAGUGAAUGUGGCAAAGCCUUCAGCAGAAGCUCCUAUCUUAUUGAACACCAGAGGAUACACACCAGAGCCCAGUGGUACCAUGAAUUUGGGAACACCCUUGAAGGUUCCACUUUUGUGAGUAAAAAAGUCUGCACUGUAAAGAAAUUGCACCAGUGUGAUGACUGUGAUAAGAUAUUCAGGUGGCGUUCACAUCUGAUUAUACACCAGAGAAUUCACACGGGAGAGAAGCCUUACAAAUGUACUGCUUGUGGCAAAGCUUUUAAUAGGAGCUCAAGACUUACUCAACACCAGAAGAUUCAUAUGGGAUAAACCAUACACCUAUAGAAGCAUAUAAAUGUGAAUAGACCUGCAGCCUUAACUUAUUUUAUUUGAAAUCAUUUAUACUGACAGGAACUUGAACUUCUGGGAAAGAUUCAAAGUUUUUCUCACAAUACCCUAAAGCCGGCCGUGGUGGCGCACACCUUUAAUCCUAGUACUCGGGAGGCAGAGGUGGGAGGAUCGCCAUGAGUUUGAGGCCACCCUGAAACUACAUAAUGAAUUCCAGUCUGGAAAAGAACCUCCAGCACCCAACAAUUACUCAGCUGUAUUCAAUACUAUGCUUCAAAAUCUUGAUAAACCAAAAGGGAAAAAUGAAGGAGUUAACUGAGAACAAGAAGGAAGUUGAAUCAGAAGACCAAAGAAUUCUCAAGAAACAAAGAGAAUGGUUGGAUGUGCUUGGUGGCAUACUGCCUGUGGUGGUUUGAUUCAGGUGUCCCCCAUAAACUUAGGUGUUCUGAAUGCUAGGUUCCCAGCUGAUGGAGAUUUGGGAAUUAAUGCCUCCUGGAGGGAGUGUAUUGUUGGGGGCGGG